rnacentral:lncRNA from 1 species
AUAACUAUUGUGAACCAUGGCCCACAUGGCAGGCCCAAGAUCCCUCCAUAACAUCAUUUUCUCGUAAAAAUAAUCUAAAUUAACACAAACACAAACAGAUAAAAGUUUAUUAAUUGACCCUGUAACAAUAUAUAAAUAUUUGAGUCAAAAUCCUAAUGCAUUGAAACACAACAAAAUCAUGGCUUAUUCCAGGGAGGAGUCGACGUUACGAACGGAUCAUCAUCAGGUUUUUGAGCCCUUUCAUUGUCACCACCACCACUCGAUACUAUGAACUCACGAAUCACCCUUUUGCUCACUGUGUCACCCUUUGUUUCAAUCUCUUCGUUACUAAUCUUCUUCCUCGAUCCUUUGAUCUCUUCUUCCUUUUUUACUUUCUCCAUCUUCUCUUUAUGUGCCUCCAUAACCAUAACCUUAUUACUCAACACAGUAAGCAUCAAUUGUCACCGUUCAUGGCACUUCACAAUGGGCCAUGCAUAGCAUUCAACUUUUGUAUAUACAUCACAAUCACAACAACUAUGUUUAUGCAUAUAUGUUGGGUCAUCAGAGGACAAUUUGUGACUACACAUGUCAAGUCUUUGAACCUAGGAACUACUACGUGUCUUCAUGACCACAAUUUAUGGCUAGACCGUGUGUUCAACUCGAUUCUAAUUAUCUGUUG